AUUGAACGCUGGCGGCAGGCCUAACACAUGCAAGUCGAACGGUAACAGGAAGACGCUUGCUUCUUUGCUUUCGCGUGGCGGACGGGUGUGUCAUGUCUGUGAAACUGCCUGAUGGCGGGGGAUAACUACUGGAAACGGUAGCUAAUACCGCAUAACGUCUCAAGCCCAAAGAGGGGGACCUUCGGGCCUCUUGCCUUCGGCUGUGCCCUGAUGGGAUUAGCUAGUAGGUGGGGUAACGGCUCACCUAGGCGACGAUCCCUAGCUGGUCUGAGAGGAUGAUCAGCCACACUGGAACUGAGACACGGUCCAGACUCCUACGGGAGGCAGCAGUAGGGAAUAUUGCACAAUGGGCGAAAGCCUGAUGCAGCCAUGCCGCGUGUAUGAAGAAGGCCUUCGGGUUGUAAAGUACUUUCAGCGGGGAAGAAGAGAGGAAAGUUAAUACCUGUGCUCAUUGACGGUACCCGCAGAAGAAGCACCGGCUAACUCCGUG
rnacentral:rRNA from 1 species